UUGUUAAUGGUUUUGUCCAUUUCGCCCUGUAAUCUAUGGAGAUAAAUUUCUGGCAUGAAGCUGAUAACAAGCACAAUAGUUUUGAGAAAUUUUCAUUUUAUUUUUCUUAUUUUUUUAAGCAUCCUUCAAUCAAAUCCACUGCAGUAAAAACAUGAGAGAUGACACUUGAAAAAUCAUUCACAGAAAAAGUUUCACAAUGAAUUUUUUUUACUUUUAAUUUUCUCUCUCUCUUUCUCUCUGAGAGAUUUUUUGGCUAAAAGAUUAGAUUGCAUAAUAUUAACUGAUAUAUCAGAGCAGUGAGGUAAACAGCAUUUUUCUGUUAUUUGAUUAUAAGUUCUUUGAUCUUUUUGCCGAGAAAGAAAUUGGUUAUUAGUAAGUCAAAUACAAAAUCAAGUGGAAGUGUUCGGUAAAGGUUAAUUUGGUGCCAGGGCCAAACUGAGGACAUGAAGUAUAUGUGAUAGAACUUGACAAAUGUGAUCGUAAAGAAAUUCUAUAAAAAUUGAGGUUUUUAUGAAAAUUAUCAAAAAUGUGAUAUGUUUUAAAAUUACUUUAAUUCUUUAAGGGGGUAUUCCUUCGUUCAAUCAUCAGAAAUUAACAUGCAGAAUUUCUAUCAAUGAAAUCUAUGUCUGAACCUUCGUUCAAGCAUCAGAAAUUAACAUGCAGAAUUUCUAUCAAUGAAAUCUAUGUCUGAACGAUGAUUUUAGGCGUGUUUGUGCUUAUAUUACAUGUAAUGAAAUUAAUGCCGAAAUGUACAAGAAAAAGGUGUAUCAUAUACAAAUACUGUAUGUCUUUGCAGUAAUUAGUGAUACAUCGGGUCAAAUUAAGGAUUUUCAGGACUUAAUACAUGAAGAACUGUGGUUUAUCUUGAGAGUAAAACUGCCUUAUUAAUGUAAAGAUAAAUUUUACUACUUGGAAAAAAUACAUAUUUUCCAGUAAUUAUAAUUUUGAAGCCUAAACUUUAUUCAAAUGAAGGAAUGUCCCUUUAAAAAAAUAAAAUAAACACUACUAUCAAAACUUAAAGAAGAUAAAUUGCAUUGUAAUGUACAGUUCAAUCAUUGAUGUUAUUGAUGUUUAAAAAAUGUUGAUCUGAUCUGGUAUGAAGUUUUCCGGAUUAUCAGAACCGUUGACUUUGUAUGCGUCUAUAAAUGUAAAUUUGUAUAAAUGAAAUGUUUUCAUAGAUACCUUGCUGACUAGAUGUCAUAAUCCGUGAUCAUAAAGAGUACUUGUAUGUUGUUUUAUGUUAAGAAGUAGAUAAUCUGAUUUAAAUUUGUGAUCAUAUGUCGUUUAACUAUAUGUUUAAAUAUUCAUGAAUAUUAUGAACAUCUUAUAAUUUUUAUGAUCCUCGCCCCCCUUCCCUAUCCAAAUUAACUUUUUCUUUAAAUGUCUGGUCUAAUUAAGAAGUGAUGUUUCAAGGUGCAGAUUUGCUUACAUACAGAUAUUCCUUGUUUAGUAUAGUUUUGACAGGUGAAUGAUACAGGCCCUCUGGGCCUCUUGUUAACUAGAGCUUUGACAUCAGCUUUGGAACAUUGAUAAAAGUUUUUUUUUUUUUUUAAAUCUACUCUAAUACUCGAAUAAUUUUAGUUUGAUCAAAUCAAUUGAAUUCAUUGCUUUGAAAAACCACUGCAAAUAUUUAAAUUUUAGAAAUUUUGAUUGAGAAAUUUUAAUAAGUUGAAAAAAAGACAGAUCAUGUGUAUCAUAGUUUUUGUGAAAAUGAACAAUUUGUUUUUCUGAAAGAUUAAUAAUGAUAGUAUUCAUUUAAAUGUGAAAAAUUGUCAAUAACUAAUAUUUUAAUGGCCAUACUUAAUUAUGAUCAUAAUGUGUUUAGAAGAUGAUUUACGUAUUGUUUUACAUGAUUUCUCACCUCAUCAUCUGUAAAUAGCUAUUUUUGUUUUACUUUGAUUCAUAUUGAUGUUGAUAUAUUUUCACUUGUUAACGUUGAAUUCCACAUCAUUUUCAUAUUAAGUUUGUUGUUUGUAUCUUUCUCAAAGUUGUUUUUUUUCUGUUGAAAAGUAACUUGAAAUACAUUUUUCUAGUGCAUUAUUGUAUUAAAGACAAAACAUUAACAUUUUCCAUUGAAAUUUAUGAUCAGCUGAUCAGAAAGGAGGCUGACAGGUUUACUGUUCUUUUGUCAAACCUCGUUGGAGAGAUCUAGAUUUGCCAUUUAAAAUAUUGUUAGCACAAAGACUUGGCACACAAAUUUCCAACCCCAAGAACUAUAUUUGACAUUUGAUUGAAGUAAAGUAAAAUUUUCCCUGAAAUUUGAAGGGAAACACAUGUUAAAUUGAACAGUACUGUAAUCAAUAACAUCCACAAUUAUUUUUAAGAGUCAAAAAUGUACUUUCUGAAAUAUUUUUUCAUUGGUACCUGAUGACCAGGUUCUAAUCAUUUGGUUUGGUUUGUGAGGUUGAGAUUUUAUGCUGAGUCUCUGUAUACAUGUUGCAGGGCCUGAUUUCGCUGCAAUUACGUAGCUCUGGACGAAAUGUUCUAUGCCCUAAGGUCAGAUUAAGUUUGUAACUGAACUACUUUGGUACAAUCUGUUGUAUAUUUUCGUUGUUUAAGUUUUGCUGUUUAUACAUGUAUACUGUAGAAUUACCAGAGAGGAUUUGUAACCAUAUAAAUAUGAUCAUGGCUGUUGCUAGGUAAGCCAGGACAGCUGAUGUUUGUUGUAACCAUGGACAUGUGACUGUUGCUAGGUAAGAAAGGAUAGCUGAUGUUUGUUGUUACCAUGGAAAUAUGACUUGCUAGGUAAGCCAGGAAAGCAGAUGUUUUGUGUUACCAUGGAAAUAUGACUGUUGCUAGGGAAGCCGAAAUCUGAUGUUUGUUGUUACCAUGGAAAUAUGACUGUUGCUAGGGAAGCCUGGAAAGCUUAUGUUUAUUGUUAUAAAUAGAUUUUUGCAUAAUGUUCCUUAAAAGUGAUAAAAGAGUUUUGUCUGAAGAUCCGUGCCUUUGUGUGUUAGAAGUGAUAGCCAGGACUUCAUUGUAUAUGUGCAUAUAUAUGUUUAUGAUUGUUUUACGAAAGAAAUAUAUUUUUACAAAUGUCAUCACCUUA